UACAGAGGGGGCAAGCGUUGUUCGGAGUUACUGGGCGUAAAGGGCGCGUAGGCGGCGCACCAAGUCAGGCGUGAAAGCCCUGGGCUCAACCCGGGAAUUGCGCUUGAGACUGGUGUGCUUGAGUACGGGAGAGGAUAGUGGAAUUCCCAGUGUAGAGGUGAAAUUCGUAGAUAUUGGGAAGAACACCGGUGGCGAAGGCGGCUAUCUGGACCGUAACUGACGCUGAGGUGCGAAAGCGUGGGGAGCAAACAGG
rnacentral:rRNA from 1 species